rnacentral:rRNA from 1 species
UACGGGGGGGGCAAGCGUUGUUCGGAAUUACUGGGCGUAAAGGGCUCGUAGGCGGCCAACUAAGUCAGACGUGAAAUCCCUCGGCUUAACCGGGGAACUGCAUCUGAUACUGGAUGGCUUGAGUUCGGGAGAGGGAUGCGGAAUUCCAGGUGUAGCGGUGAAAUGCGUAGAUAUCUGGAGGAACACCGGUGGCGAAGGCGGCAUCCUGGACCGACACUGACGCUGAGGCGCGAAAGCGUGGGUAGCAAACAGG